GCAGCUGGCUGCAGUUCCCCAGGAAACAGCUUCCGGCAGACACUCAAUCUCCAGUUGUAACAGGUGGUGUGGAGUCCGCUGUCCCAGGGAGUGGGCUCAAGGCCUAGUCCUGCCAAUGAACUUGCUGUAGAAACUUUUCUGUCUAUCAAAUGAGGUUGGAAUGCACUGGUGCAAUAAUUGCUCACUGCAGCCAUGACCUCCCAUGCUCAAGCAAUCCUCCCACCUCAGCCUCCCACGUAGCUGGGACUACAGCUUCUCCAUUUCCACCUUUGCAAACUCUGGACUCCAAGGACGCAAGAUGGCCGGAAACAAGAUGGUGGAGCAUGAAGGCCCUUGCCAGAUGACAGCACUAUGCCCUUGGACUCCCCAGCCUCCAUAACCAUGGGCCAAAUAAACUUCUAUUGUUUUAAAUUGCCCAGUCUGUGGUAUUCUAUC
rnacentral:lncRNA from 1 species